UGUAUGUAACUCAGUGGUAGAGCACUUGCCUAGCAUGCACGAAGCCCUGGGUUCAGUCCCCAGUAUCACAA
rfam:Ictidomys tridecemlineatus contig002298, whole genome shotgun sequence.